rnacentral:lncRNA from 1 species
CAAAUAUCCAAAUAAAGUUGAAAGAAGUUAUGUGUUGAAAAACAGGAUGAACAGUGAUCCCUUUAUAUGAUUCUUUAUAACUCUUUAAUGUUUGUUGCUGGAUACUAAAUUAAACAAAAUACAAAAAGGUAUUAUACUCUUUAAAACUUAAUUUUAUUAACUUUAUUAAAAACCCUAACUGGGCUUAAUACAGACAAACUGGGCAUUAAUACAGGGCCAUUACAGAAAAACAGGGCCA